CCGCCGAUUCCUCCACCUCCCUUCCAUCCUGGACAAGAUGCCUGCACCCGGCGCACUCAUCCUCCUGGCGGCCGUCUCCGCCUCCGGCUGCCUGGCGUCCCCAGCGCACCCGGAUGGAUUCGCUCUGAGCCGGGCCCCUUUGGCUCCGCCCUACGCUGUGGUCCUCAUUUCCUGUUCGGGUCUGCUGGCCUUCAUCUUUCUCCUCCUUACCUGUCUGUGUUGCAAACGGGGUGAUGUUCGUUUCAAGGAGUUUGAGAACCCGGAAGGGGAGGACUGCUCUGGGGAGUACACCCCCCCUGCGGAGGAGACCUCCUCCUCACAGUCGCUGCCUGAUGUCUAUAUUCUGCCGCUGGCAGAGGUCUCACUGCCAAUGCCUGCCCCGCAGCCUCCACACUCAGACAUCAGCACCCCCCUGGGCCUGAGCCGCCAGCACCUCAGCUACCUGCAGGAGAUUGGCAGCGGCUGGUUUGGGAAGGUGAUCCUCGGGGAGGUUUUCUCAGACUACUCGCCAGCCCAGGUGGUGGUGAAGGAACUCCGGGCUAGUGCCGGGCCCCUGGAACAGCGCAAGUUCAUCUCCGAGGCUCAGCCCUACAGGAGCCUGCAGCAUCCCAACGUCCUCCAGUGCCUGGGCGUCUGUGUGGAGACCUUGCCCUUCCUGUUGAUCAUGGAGUUCUGCCAGCUGGGGGACCUGAAGCGAUACCUUCGGGCCCAGCGGCCACCUGAAGGCAUGUCCCCUGAACUUCCCCCUCGAGACCUUCGGACACUGCAGAGGAUGGGUCUAGAGAUUGCCCGAGGACUGGCACACCUGCACUCUCACAACUAUGUGCACAGCGAUCUGGCGCUGCGCAACUGCCUGCUAACUUCAGACCUGACUGUGCGUAUUGGAGACUAUGGGCUGGCGCACAGCAACUACAAGGAAGACUACUACCUGACACCCGAGCGCCUAUGGGUGCCGCUGCGCUGGGCAGCGCCCGAGCUGCUGGGCGAGCUGCACGGCAGCUUCGUGCUGGUAGAUCAAAGCCGGGAGAGUAAUGUCUGGUCCCUGGGGGUGACACUCUGGGAGCUAUUCGAGUUCGGGGCACAGCCCUAUCGUCACCUAUCGGAUGAGGAGGUCCUGGCCUUUGUUGUCCGCCAGCAGCACGUGAAGCUGGCCCGGCCCAGGCUCAAGCUGCCCUACGCUGACUAUUGGUAUGACAUUUUGCAGUCUUGCUGGCGGCCGCCAGCCCAGCGCCCCUCAGCUUCUGAUCUCCAGCUGCAGCUCACUUACCUGCUGUCUGAGCGGCCCCCCAGGCCCCCUCCUCCACCACCCCCUCCCCGAGAUGGGCCCUUCCCCUGGCCCUGGCCCCCCUCGCAUAGUGCGCCGCGCCCAGGGACCCUGUCCUCCCAGUUCCCCCUUCUGGAUGGCUUCCCCGGGGCUGACCCUGAUGAUGUACUCACAGUCACCGAGAGCAGCCGUGGCCUCAACCUUGAGUGCCUGUGGGAGAAGGCCCGCCGUGGGGCAGGCCGGGGUGGGGGUGCACCUCCCUGGCAACCCGCUUCUGCGCCUCCUGCGCCCCAUACCAAUCCAUCCAAUCCCUUCUAUGAGGCGCUGUCCACCCCUAGCGUGCUUCCGGUCAUCAGCGCACGCAGUCCCUCGGUGAGCAGCGAGUACUAUAUCCGCCUGGAGGAGCACGGUUCUCCACCAGAGCCCCUCUUCCCCAACGACUGGGACCCGCUGGACCCAGGAGUACCCGGUCCCCAGGCCCCCCAGACUCCCUCCGAGGUCCCUCAGCUGGUGUCCGAGACCUGGGCUUCCCCCCUCUUCCCCGCGCCCCGACCCUUCCCGGCCCAGUCCUCGGGAUCAGGUGGUUUCCUGCUGAGCGGCUGGGACCCCGAGGGCCGGGGCGCAGGAGAGACCCUGGCAGGAGAUCCUGCCGAGGUGCUUGGGGAACAGGGUACCGCACCCUGGGCCGAAGAGGAGGAGGAAGAGAGCUCCCCAGGCGAGGACAGCAGCAGCCUUGGAGGGGGACCCAGCCGCAGGGGACCCCUCCCCUGUCCCUUGUGCAGCCGCGAGGGUCCCUGCUCCUGUCUGCCAUUGGAGCGGGGGGACGCUGUGGCCGGCUGGGGGGACCACCCUGCCCUUGGUUGUCCCCACCCCCCAGAGGACGACUCUUCCUUGCGUGCAGAGCGGGGCUCCUUGGCCGACCUGCCUCUGGUCCCCCCUACCUCAGCCCCUCUCGAGUUUCUGGACCCCCUUAUGGGGGCCGCAGCGCCCCAGUACCCCGGGCGGGGGCCACCUCCCGCUCCCCCCCCUCCACCGCCCCCUCCCCGGGCCUCCGCGGAACCGGCCGCGUCCCCCGACCCCCCGUCGGCCCUGGCCAGUCCAGGCUCCGGCCUAUCGUCUCCGGGCCCCAAGCCGGGGGACAGCGGCUACGAGACCGAGACCCCUUUUUCCCCCGAGGGAGCCUUCCCAGGUGGGGGGGCGGCCGAGGAGGAAGGGGUCCCUCGGCCACGGGCUCCCCCCGAGCCACCCGACCCAGGAGCGCCCCGGCCACCCCCAGACCCGGGUCCCCUCCCACUCCCAGGGUCCCAGGAGAAGCCAACCUUUGUAGUUCAGGUGAGCACCGAGCAGCUGCUGAUGUCCCUACGGGAGGAUGUGACAAAGAACCUCCUAGGGGACAAGGGGUCGACACCCGGGGAGACAGGACCCAGGAAGGCGGGGAGAAGCCCCGCGAACAGAGAGAAGGGCCCAGGCCCGAACAGGGACCUGACAUCCCUGGUCAGCAGGAAGAAAGUCCCCAGCAGGAGCCUUCCAGUGAACGGGGUGACAGUGUUGGAGAACGGGAAGCCAGGAGUCCCGGACAUGAAGGAGAAGGUGGCGGAGAAUGGCCUGGAAUCUCCGGAGAAAGAAGAGAGAGCCCUGGUGAAUGGGGAGCCGAUGUCCCCAGAGGCCGGGGAGAAGGUGCUGGCGAAUGGGGUUCUGAUGUCCCCAAAGAGCGAGGAGAAGGUGGCAGAGAAUGGGGUCCUGAGGCUGCCCAGGAACACGGAGAGGCCACCAGAGAUUGGACCUCGGAGAGUCCCAGGGCCCUGGGAGAAGACGCCCGAGACUGGGGGUCUAGCUCCCGAGACCCUGCUGGAUCGAGCCCCUGCGCCCUGCGAGGCAGCCUUGCCCCAGAACGGCUUGGAGAUGGCCCCUGGCCAGCUUGGCCCAGCCCCCAAGAGCGGGAACCCAGACCCCGGGACCGAGUGGAGAGUCCACGAGAGUGGGGGGGCACCGAGAGCCCCCGGGGCUGGGAAGCUGGACCUCGGGAGUGGGGGCCGAGCCCUGGGGGGCGUGGGGACGGCCCCCGCCGGCGGCCCCGCAAGCGCCGUGGACGCAAAGGCCGGAUGGGUAGACAACUCGAGACCACUGCCACCUCCGCCACAGCCACUGGGGGCCCAACAGAGGAGGCCGGAGCCAGUGCCCCUGAAAGCCAGGCCGGAGGUGGCCCAAGAGGAAGAGCCAGGGGUCCCAGACAACAGGCUCGGCGGAGACAUGGCCCCCAGCGUAGACGAGGACCCCCUCAAGCCGGAGAGGAAGGGCCCCGAGAUGCCACGCUUGUUCCUGGACUUGGGACCACCUCAGGGGAACAGCGAGCAGAUCAAAGCCAAACUCUCCCGGCUCUCGCUGGCGCUCCCACCGCUCACGCUCACGCCGUUCCCGGGCCCGGGCCCGCGGCGGCCACCUUGGGAGGGCGCGGACGCAGGGGCAGCUGGCGGGGAGGCCGGCGGGGCGGGGGCGCCGGGGCCAGCGGAGGAGGACGGGGAGGACGAGGACGAGGACGAGGAGGACGAGGAGGCAGCGGGCUCUCGGGAUCCCGGGAGGACGCGGGAAGCCCCAGUGCCCGUCGUGGUGAGCAGCGCCGACGGGGACACGGUCCGCCCGCUGCGGGGGCUGCUCAAGUCUCCACGCGCGGCCGACGAGCCAGAGGACAGCGAGCUGGAGAGGAAGCGCAAGAUGGUCUCCUUCCACGGGGACGUGACCGUCUACCUCUUCGACCAGGAGACUCCAACCAACGAGUUGAGCGUCCAGGGCACCCCCGAGGGGGACACGGAGCCAUCAACUCCCCCAGCGCCCCCGACGCCUCCCCACCCCACCACCCCAGGAGAUGGGUUUCCCAACAGCGACAGCGGCUUUGGCGGCAGUUUCGAGUGGGCGGAGGAUUUCCCCCUCCUCCCCCCGCCAGGCCCCCCCCUGUGCUUCUCCCGCUUCUCCGUCUCACCUGCACUGGAGACCCCGGGGCCUCCCGCCCGGGCUCCCGACGCCCGGCCCGCAGGCCCCGUGGAGAACUGACUCCCCAAAGACCCAGCCCCUUUGCAUCCCAAGAAGAGGGCUUGCGAGCAGAAUCUUGUGUGGACGAUGGAGCCAUUGCCCCUGACACUGACACAGCCUCUGGGGAGGUGCCUGAGGCUGGGCCCUCCCUCUCCUCCACCAUGUGCCAAACAGGAGGCCCAGGCCCUCCACCCAGCCCCCCAGAUGAGUCCCCUGAUCCCCCUGACCCCCCCGACCCCCUUGGAGCCACAUGAGGCAGGAAGCCCCAUCGCUGGACAGCCACACGUCUUGGAACUGAACUGAACCGAACUCUUUUGGGCCCAGAGCCCCCUGGCACAGCAGAGGUCUCUCCUGGCCCCAUGAGGGCCACUGGCUUCAGGAACCUGGCCCCCCCCCCCCAUCUUGCGUCUCCCCUUCCCCCAAGCCUGGCCCCUGGAGGGGGCCUCUGAUUCAAACCUUCGCGUGACAUUUUCACAUUAUUUAAAAAAAAAAGACAAAAACAACUUUUGGAGGAAAAUGGGGCCUGUGUGUAUUUGGGGAGGUGGGAGGGAGGUGCCAGGAGUAGACACUGCAUGAAAGUCCCUGUCCUUUCCUUAUGGCCCUGAGGCAAGGCGCCCACGCAACAGUGGAGCUUGCUGGCCUCCCUUCCAGCGCAUUGGUGGCAGCCCUGACUUACCCUUCUCUGUUCCAUGAGGAGUCAGUGAUGAUGGCUUGGGACCAGGCAGUUUUGGUAAUCAUGUUCCUGCAGGGUCUGAAAGCUAUCACAGGGCCAGACCAGGUGGUGGGAAGAGACUCAGAACUGAUCUGCUGAAACUCGGCGGAGUCACCUGCCAGCCACUGCCUGGCCUGCCUGCCCGCACUGGCCGGCUCCAUCCACUCAUUUCUCUGUUACUGCCCAGCUUCUGGGCCGGCACACAAAUACUGUCUAUAUGAUCAUGCAUGCACACCCUCACCCCCAGCCCUGGCCCUUGCCAGUUGUUCUUCAUCUGCCCGACUGCUUGUCUUUGUCCAGUCUUCCUCGCAGUGACCUAGGACUGCUGCUCUGGUUUCUUCCUGUGUCUGUGUUCUCCCAUGCAUCUCCCCGUGCUUCUCUCUGCCUUAGUUAUAUUUGGGUCUUGUCCCUGUCCCCUCCCUCCCUCCCGUGGCUGCCUGGUCCUUAGCUUCUCAGUGGCUAGGCUGUUGGUGUCUCUGGACUUGGGUCCCUCAUCCUCUACACUUGGGGAUCAGAAUUUACAUGAAGGGAGUGAAUUUACAUUGUGGAAGAGAGCCAAAGCAAGGGGUGGGUUUAAGCAGGAUGGUAUAUAGGGGUGACAGGACACAGGGUGGAAGGUGUCACAGGAAACCCCUACAGUAGGGUUUUCCUUCCCCAUCAUAGGAUUGGAUUGCUGCCUGGCAAGCGGCGACAUGAUUGAGAGGCAGGUCUGCCCAGGUUGGGGAGGGAAUCAUGGUAGUAGAGUGGGCUGGAUCUUGGCAUCCUAGUUCAAAGAAUGAGAGUUAGAGACCUAAUGCCAAGUCAAGAGAGGUGGGCUAGGACCUGUGCUGUCUACCUGUCUCACUCUGUGUAUCUGUGUGUUUGAGACAAGAUCUGUCUGUGGCCCUGGCUGUCCUGUAACCACUGUGUAGACCAGGCUGGCCUCUAAUUCACAGAGACUGAUUAGCCUGCCUUUGCCUCCUGAAUGCUGGGAUUAAAGGCAUCACCACACCUAGCAAGGGCCAGGAUUUUUAGGUCUGAGGAGAGAAGGCUGUGGCCUGAACUGGUGGAUUAUGAGGGAGGGACAGGACAUUCAUGCCUCAGUCUGAGUGAAGAGGGUGAGAGCCAGGCCAAUCCAAAGUCUGAGAUGCUAAUGUCCUACCCAGUUGCAGGGAGCAAAGUUAAAGGUCUAAUCCCCAGGGAGGAGGGCUGGGGCCAGAACUGCUGCAUCUGAGGGAGGAACCUGGGAUCAGGACCCCUGGUCUGAAGGAGGGUAUACUAUCGUACCAGCCCUCACCCCACAAACUCAUAUUCAGUUAUCUUCAACCACAGAAACUUACUGCUUCACAAUUGUGGAGGCUACAAGACCAAGACCACCGACAUCAGUAUUUGGAAAAAUCUCUUCCGUGUUUUGCAAGCCUGGCUUCAGCACAUGGAUUGAAAUGAGUCCCCCUCCCCUGACACUUGGCUUGAAGGUCAGCUUAAAGCAAUUUGCAGUGACACAAGCACCUGCAGCCUAGUGUGGCCAACGUUCCCUUGAGAUCCGCAAUCAAGUGUGCUGAUCAUCACAGCCCUGGGCCCCCAGUGGUGGCUCCUCCACUCCCUCCUCCUUUAGUCACUGGGUCCCCCAGGACUGCAGACCUCCCCCUCCCUUCCCACCUUCGCCGCUACUCACUCUCAGAUCACCACAACCACUUCACUUAGACACACUGCCUCACCUUGGCUUCUCAUAGGCAGGCCUGCGUAACCUGUUCUUGCCUCCCUUAGCCACACCAGUCACCAUCUUACCUGGGCUGAUGGUAGUCACCAGUUGUCAGGCAAUGAUCCUGGGGUGAGAAGCCCUACUACUAAGGUUUUCCUUUGCCCUCUUGUCUUUGUCACCAUCCAGCUCAAACCCACCCCUUAAGCUUGUCAAUCAGUGCAAGCCCUUGUGCCAAGAAAACUUGAGUCCUAGGAUGUGAAAGACAAGGAACCAAGUUCAGGGACACCUACAAAUGGGGAAGUAGAAUCCAGAUCCCAAGACAGUACCCCCUGCUGCCCGCCACACCGAGGUCGACAGGGCAGGUGAAAGGGUGAAGAACCUCUGAUGCUCGCUGCCCAGUGCGUUCCUAGCCCUUUGGGUGACACUCAUGUUGUUUUAUUUGGGAAUCUCCAUUUCACAGCAGCCCCUGGGGGCAGGGGAAUAGUAAUUCAUGACCUUUUCCUAGGAGACAAGACGGCCACUGUGAAGACUGCCACUGUCUAUUGACACGUAGCCUGAGCCAAAGCCCACCUAAAAUAGAGCCUGGAUGCUCCCCCUUACCCAGAUCAGUGCUGUUGGGGUACACACCCACAGGGGUUUGCAAAUCCAAUACACACGUUCUGGAAUCUUAA